GUGAGACAGCAUCAGAGCUCGGGGGACAUCUCUCGCUCGGGUGAAAUCUCUCCUGGAAGAUUUCAAGGUGUGUGCAGAGUUCUGAAGAAUAAAAGUCAACAGUCAAGUUCUUCUCCAUAUUCUCCAAAUCUGACGGAGGCGUUCCAUCAGGAAAGGGGGAAUGGUUGGUCGAUGCCUCCAGAAUAAUGAUACCCAUGACCCAGGCACAACAUGCUGACAGGGAAUCGGCAGAAAGCAUCCAUGCCAUCUACGUGAUCCGCCAUGAAGGUUCAGAAGCUACUGACAGUCCUGAGGACAUCGGAAUCAUUUUCAAAGGGGUGACUGCAUUUGGCUGCUUGCCAAA